AUUGAACCGCGGCGGCAGGCUUAACACAUGCAAGUCGAGCGGUAACAGAUCUAGCUUGCUAGAUGCUGACGAGCGGCGGACGGGUGAGUAAUGCAUAGGAAACUGCCCAGUAGUGGGGGAUAGCCCGGGGAAACCCGGAUUAAUACCGCGUACGCCCUUCGGGGGAAAGCAGGGGAUCUUCGGACCUUGCGCUAUUGGAUGUGCCUAUGUCGGAUUAGCUAGUUGGUGGGGUAAAGGCCUACCAAGGCGACGAUCCGUAGCUGGUCUGAGAGGAUGAUCAGCCACAUCGGGACUGAGACACGGCCCGAACUCCUACGGGAGGCAGCAGUGGGGAAUAUUGGACAAUGGGGGCAACCCUGAUCCAGCCAUGCCGCGUGUGUGAAGAAGGCUUUCGGGUUGUAAAGCACUUUCAGUGAGGAGGAAAACUCUGCGACUAAUACUCGUAGGGCUUGACGUUACUCACAGAAGAAGCACCGGCUAACUCCGUGCCAGCAGCCGCGGUAAUACGGAGGGUGCAAGCGUUAAUCGGAAUUACUGGGCGUAAAGCGCGCGUAGGUGGUUUGAUAAGCGAGAUGUGAAAGCCCCGGGCUUAACCUGGGAACGGCAUUUCGAACUGUCAGGCUAGAGUGUGGUAGAGGGUAGUGGAAUUUCCUGUGUAGCGGUGAAAUGCGUAGAUAUAGGAAGGAACACCAGUGGCGAAGGCGGCUACCUGGAC
rnacentral:rRNA from 1 species